rnacentral:tRNA from 1 species
GGCCGCGUGGUGAAAUUGGUAUACACAGCAGACUUAAAAUCUGCCGCUCUAACCGAGCGUACCGGUUCAAGUCCGGUCGCGGCCACCA